rnacentral:rRNA from 1 species
UACGUAGGGUGCAAGCGUUGUCCGGAAUUAUUGGGCGUAAAGAGCUCGUAGGCGGUCUGUCGCGUCUGCUGUGAAAACCCGGGGCUUAACCCCGGGCUUGCUUUCGAUACGGGCAGACUAGAGUGUGGUAGGGGAGACUGGAAUUCCUGGUGUAGCGGUGAAAUGCGCAGAUAUCAGGAGGAACACCGGUGGCGAAGGCGGGUCUCUGGGCCACUACUGACGCUGAGGAGCGAAAGCGUGGGGAGCGAACAGG